CUCAAGUCGCCGCCACUUCCUGCGAUAGCAAUCUUUCUCUCAGGAGACUCCAAAGCUGAAGCUGCACUCUUACUGGAGGAGCUCGUGCUCUCAGCGAGUGAGGAUUGUGCUCAAUCUCAAAGGGCUGGGGUAUGAGUACAAAGCAGUGAACCUUUUGAAGGGAGAGCAGUUCACUCCAGCGAUCAUGUCUUUAAAUGAUCAAUUUAGCAUCCAUGAUGAUUGUAGUGAUGAUGAGAGUACUUCUAAACGUAAAAGAAGACA